GUGUUUUUGAUGUCGCAGAUACUGCAUCAGGAACUGAUUGGAUAAGAAUCAGUCACCAUCAGUUCCUAAUGCAUUGCCUUCAGCAUCUAAACA
rnacentral:pre_miRNA from 1 species